AUUUUCUUAGUAUAAAAAGUAUUUUUGACUUCCAAUCAAAAGGUCUAGUAUUAUCUAGAGAAAGUA
rnacentral:tRNA from 1 species